rnacentral:rRNA from 1 species
UACGUAGGGUCCGAGCGUUGUCCGGAAUUAUUGGGCGUAAAGGGCUCGUAGGCGGUCCGUCACGUCGGGAGUGAAAACUCAGGGCUCAACCCUGAGCGUGCUUCCGAUACGGGCGGACUAGAGGUAUGCAGGGGAGAACGGAAUUCCUGGUGUAGCGGUGGAAUGCGCAGAUAUCAGGAGGAACACCAAUAGCGAAGGCAGCUCGCUGGGACGUUACUGACACUGAGGCGCGAAAGCGUGGGGAGCGAACAGG